rnacentral:rRNA from 1 species
AUUGAACGCUGGCGGCAGGCUUAACACAUGCAAGUCGAGCGAGCGGCGGACGGGUGAGUAAUGUCUGGGAAACUGCAUGAAGGAGGGGGAUAACUACUGGAAACGGUAGAUAAUACCGCAUACCAUCAGAUGUGCCCAGAUUGGAUUAGCUAGUAGGUAGGGUAAUGGCUCACCUAGGCGACGAUCCCUAGCUGGUCUGAGAGGAUGACCAGCCACACUGGAACGGAGACACGGUCCAGACUCCUACGGGAGGCAGCAUAGGGGAAUAUUGCACAAUGGGCGCAAGCCUGAUGCAGCCAUGCCGCGUGUGUGAAGAAGGCCUUCGGGUUGUAAAGCACUUUCAGCGAGGAGGCGUUACUCGCAGAGGAAGCACCGGCUAACUCCGUGCCAGCAGCCGCGGUAAUUC